rnacentral:lncRNA from 1 species
GUAAGUGGAAUUUUCAGUUAGAAAACUGAUUAAGUGAAGUUCCGGCUAUAUUAACUAGUAUACGAGGGUUUUGAUGCCGUUUUGGUGUUGUUGGCAGCGAGAGUGCAACCGACCUUUGGAUCAUCUUCGGUUGACAUUGGAGAGCCUUUAGAGGUUAAACUUGAGGUACUAAAGUGAACCAAAUCAGGGAUUCAAGCUACAACCUUGUAUAAGGUGAGGAUUUUGCCAAUUUGGACAUUGUGGCCGUAGUUGCAAUGCGAUUUUGAUACCUAGUUUACAGCAGGUUUGAGAACCAAGCGAGUUGAAUUUCGGGAGUCCUUUGGGCUGGUUCGAGCUUAGUACUAAGUACUUUCACCUAGAUUGAAGAGUAGAUUCGACUGUUAUCUCAAUCUAGGUAAGAUAUUGCUUCGCUUUCGACAUUUGGACGAAAUGUGAUUCGAGAUGCGUAAAUUCAACUCUUAGCUGAUUUUUGAUUCGUUGCUAUGGGACUUGGAGACUUCAGAUUC